rnacentral:lncRNA from 1 species
ACCAGAGCUCUCGGAGAUCAACAAAGGUGCCGCUUUUGAAUGUGAAAGUUUUUUCAAGACUUUUCUAUUUCUUGGUUUGAAUCGUGUGCCUGUAGGGACACAUGCUACCUGCUUACUGGACAGUGACUACUUAGGAUAAGGACUCAGGCAAAAUGAUUAGUGGCAGAGGAAUCAUCUAAGAAAACUGAGAAGACUCUGCCAGAGUGAUGGGAAGAAAACUAGAUGAGAAAGCACCAUUCUGGAAGACAUGCUCCCAUGAACCAUGGAGAGAAGAGGAGAGGGAAGAAGUUAUUUGUGAUGUCAUUUGCCUGUGUCAUGGCCUGCCUUCCCUAGAUAUUGUCCUAAUGUGAGCAUCACACCUAAGGUACUGAAGUAGAGUUCUGGCUGUUCCUUACGGACAUCUCUGGUGUUGGGAUCCAGAGAACCUUCCCCUUCUGAGCAGCAAAACCAAAUAAAGCAGUUCUCAGGAUACAAAGACAAGACUGAGGAAGAUCCUAAUAAGGUGUUGCAAGGUGACACAGGACAAACUUUGUCCAAAGGAAAUUGAUCUGACAAGAACUUCUGGACUUGUCAGUUCUUAGGGCUGACUGGUCUAUCCUCUUUCUAUUGACUUUGGCUUACUAGACUCAAGCAGAAAGUGACAAGGGAAGAAAAGGAUACAAACAGAAGCAAGUUUCCAAGAACAAGGUUUACAUCAGGAAGAGCCAAUCAAAGAUCAUAUCUGGAGGACUGCUGCAAAGUUGUGAUAAAUGACCAAAUAGUAUUUUUAUAGAAGGUGGAAUGAAUGACAGACUAAAGAUUUCAGCUGAUUAAAGAAAUUAUGGAGUGCAUCAUUCUCAGUUUAUAUUGAACUGGGGUUCCUGAGAAAUUCCUCCUUAUAAAUUUACAUGGAAAUUAUAAUUUUUACUAGUUGAUUUCAGUUAAUUAGCCUACUGAAUAAUUUGAUUCUUGCACUCACUAAAAGAUCAUAGAGCACAAGAAUACCAUUUACAAAAUACUUUAAAAGUGGGGAUAUAAACACAAAUAAGGUCUUGUACCAACCUUGAAGGGAUUUUCAGUCUAGGUAAAAACCAUUUAAAAUAAAAAGAGGGCAUCCUUGUUUUAUUCCUGUAUUUAAGAGAAUGUGUCUUUCAGUGUUUAAAAUAAUGUUUACUGCUGGUUUAUGAUAAAUACUUUAAAAAAUCACAUUAUGGGAAUGUUUUCCAAUUUUCAUUUCCUAAGAGAUUUUUGUCAGGAAUGUAGUUGAAUUUUAUUAAGUGUCUUUUCUGUAUCUCUUGAUAUAAUCAUGUGAUUUUCAGCUUUAAUAAAUGUCUUAAUAUUGAA